GACGAACGCUGGCGGCGUGCUUAACACAUGCAGGUCGAACGGAAAGGCCCUGCUUUUGUGGGGUGCUCGAGUGGCGAACGGGUGAGUAACACGUGAGUAACCUGCCCUUGACUUUGGGAUAACUUCAGGAAACUGGGGCUAAUACCGGAUAGGAGCUCCUGCUGCAUGGUGGGGGUUGGAAAGUUUCGGCGGUUGGGGAUGGACUCGCGGCUUAUCAGCUUGUUGGUGGGGUAGUGGCUUACCAAGGCUUUGACGGGUAGCCGGCCUGAGAGGGUGACCGGCCACAUUGGGACUGAGAUACGGCCCAGACUCCUACGGGAGGCAGCAGUGGAGAAUAUUGCACAAUGGGCGGAAGCCUGAUGCAGCAACGCCGCGUGCGGGAUGACGGCCUUCGGGUUGUAAACCGCUUUCGCCUGUGACGAAGCGUGAGUGACGGUAAUGGGUAAAGAAGCACCGGCUAACUACGUG
rnacentral:rRNA from 1 species